GGAUGAGAGCGCACAGGGUUGGUGCCCGUGGCACUGCUGGACUCGGAGCUGCAGAACCACCAUGUCCUCUCUCCUUAUCAUCCUCCACAUGCUCCUUUUUGGGUAUUUUGCAGCACUUUGAGGCUGGGAGAAGUGGUGCAGCAGCAAUGACAACCAGGACAUUGUCCCCUUGGGACAUGCAUUGAGCGAGACCCGGCUGCCUGCCUUAGCCCUUGAAAGGAAGGGGUGAAGGAAAAUGGGAAAAGGAGAAGGUGGGAAGGAGAACGAGAGAGAAAAAUGAAUUGCUUAAAACUUCUAUUACUCUUCAUUACCUUCUGCUUUAUGUAAGUUCCAAGGUUCAUUUACCAGCUGUAAGUGGCCUGGUGCCUUUGUGUGUAGGAGUUGUCAUGCCCAUUGCUCCCAUUAAUGUACUGCGUGAAGCUAAAGGUAGCUUGGCUGGAGCUGCAAAGCCAAAUCAAUGUAACUAAUGUACCUCGUGCCACAAAUCCCUAAUUGUCCGCCGUUGGACUGGAUGGAUGGGCUUGGAAUGUUUGAAUCUUCGCCGUGAAUGGGGAUAGCGGGGAGAUGGCUGCUGCUGGGAGCUGCUCUGGGGGCUGUGGGGGAACACACAGUGUUCUGAAACCAGAAGAGGGGAUGGGAGUGUCCUUAGGGCUGACCCACUGCGAG
rnacentral:lncRNA from 1 species